AAAUGCGCUAACUAGUGUGCAUUGCAGAAUUCAGUGAAUCAUCGAGUCUUUGAACGCAUAUUGCGCCCAUUGGUAUUCCGAUGGGCAUGCCUGUUUGAGCGUCAUUACACCACUCAAGCCCCCCUUUGCUGGGGGGUUAUGGUCUUGGAUUACUCCCCCGCCCACAGGGGCUCAUGGUCCCCCGGAAACGGGGGCUCUCAUGCUGGUACCGGGAGGGGGAAAUCCCAAAUUUCUACAGUGGUUUGACUUUAGUUUACCGUGAAGUCCCCGAGCGUUGUAGAUUUACCCUCGCUCUUUGGGACCCGCGGGGGGGCUAAUUACCCCUACUCUUCCCUGACUUACUAGGGUAGGACGGGGGUUUAUUCUAGGUUUGACCUCAGAUCAGGUAGGGAUACCCGCUGAACUUAAGC
rnacentral:misc_RNA from 1 species